GCUGCAUCUAUUUCUUUUCUACUUCUUAUCUGAGUGGCGCUGCUAGAUCUGCCUCAAAUUUUUAUCUUUUCCAGGAAUUCUAGGUUCUCCAAUGUAGCUUCAGUGACAGUCCUCGGUGCCCGCUGCUUUUGGAGCGUUUCUGCUCUUCUUUGGGUUGCCGUUCUCAGCCGUUCUUGUUUCCAGAUCUGCCUACAUAACGCUGUCGCCUGCUGGCUUGCAUAAUCAGCUCUGUAGUGGGAGAUUGCCUACUCCACCGAGCACCACUCGAGUCGCUCAGCACUUCUGCAUCGAUAUUAUCAUUCCUGUCCCAGGAAGCAGAGCUGGAACACGUGCCGUCGUUACAGAAACAUCAUGUUCAUAAACAGGCCUUCUCCAAUUGCACUGCUCCAUGCUGCGGCUUCUCACCAUGGACUGAUGAUGCUAGAUGACAGAUCCAAGCAUGGAAAGUUCCAGUGACAAUAGAUAUUCAUGGUAUACCCUCCCUAUGCAUUUCAGGCUUCCUCUCCAAUCCACGCUGUACUGCUUACAAGACAGUAAUACACACAUUUCCUGUUACUAUGAAAACUAGCUUGUAAACUGUACCUAAAAGAUAUGCUUCCCACUGGCUGAGACCCCCAUACCUUGAGAUACAUCCGGACUAUGACAAUCCACCUCGCAUUGAAGAUCAACAAGAAGAAGAUCCAGAUAUGGUAAGAGAAUGCAAUCUGUAUUUGAAGGUUCACUGCAGCUGAAAUAGAGGAUAAAAAAGGAUGAACAACCCGCCUACUUUCAAUGGCUUCACAUAUUCAGGUGAAACUUCCGAUGAUGAGGACCCAAACGACGCAUACUAUUAUGCAGACUCAGAUCGUGAGCCCAAGAAAUGGUAGUGCAAUGCAUCAGGCCCAAGAACAGCAAAAUCCAGAUCUGCCGCCAGCGAGGAAAUAAAAAACAAUAUCAUUCUCAAGGCUCCAGCUCGUCCUCUGCACCUAUAUAUAUCUAGAUAUAUCUAUAUGUAUGCGUACAUGUAUAUAUGUGCCUGCGCCAGUAUGUGUGUCUACUAUGUUACACGGAUACUGGUACGGGUAUCGGAUACGAUACGUAUUGGAUAUGCGGAUACGCACUUUCCCAAAAAACACUGAUACGGGGAUACGGAUAGAAUAAUU